CGAACGCUGGCGGCAGGCCUAACACAUGCACGUCGAGCGAGAUCUUCGGGUCUAGCGGCGGACGGGUGAGUAACGCGUGGGAAUAUGCCUCUUGGUACGGAAUAGCCUCGGGAAACUGGGAGUAAUACCGUAUGUGCCCUUUGGGGGAAAGAUUUAUCGCCAAGAGAUUAGCCCGCGUUGGAUUAGGUAGUUGGUGGGGUAAUGGCCUACCAAGCCGACGAUCCAUAGCUGGUUUGAGAGGAUGAUCAGCCACACUGGGACUGAGACACGGCCCAGACUCCUACGGGAGGCAGCAGUGGGGAAUCUUAGACAAUGGGGGCAACCCUGAUCUAGCCAUGCCGCGUGAGUGAUGAAGGCCUUAGGGUUGUAAAGCUCUUUCAGCUGGGAAGAUAAUGACGGUACCAGCAGAAGAAGCCCCGGCUAACUCCGUG
rnacentral:rRNA from 1 species